rnacentral:rRNA from 1 species
AUUGAACGCUGGCGGCAAGCCUAACACAUGCAAGUCGAGCGGAUGAAGGGAGCUUGCUCCUGGAUUCAGCGGCGGACGGGUGAGUAAUGCCUAGGAAUCUGCCUGGUAGUGGGGGAUAACGUCCGGAAACGGGCGCUAAUACCGCAUACGUCCUGAGGGAGAAAGUGGGGGAUCUUCGGACCUCACGCUAUCAGAUGAGCCUAGGUCGGAUUAGCUAGUUGGUGGGGUAAAGGCCUACCAAGGCGACGAUCCGUAACUGGUCUGAGAGGAUGAUCAGUCACACUGGAACUGAGACACGGUCCAGACUCCUACGGGAGGCAGCAGUGGGGAAUAUUGGACAAUGGGCGAAAGCCUGAUCCAGCCAUGCCGCGUGUGUGAAGAAGGUCUUCGGAUUGUAAAGCACUUUAAGUUGGGAGGAAGGGCAGUAAGUUAAUACCUUGCUGUUUUGACGUUACCAACAGAAUAAGCACCGGCUAACUUCGUG